rnacentral:lncRNA from 1 species
UGUGUUUAUGCAGGUGUGUACAUGCAUACGUGAAAGAAGACUGCUGCAUUUCCCCCUGGUGACACAGGUAGAGAAGCAAUCAUGUACAAAAAAGCCAUAGAGAAUUAUCAGAAUUACCAAGGAUCCCAGUUUUCAACAGUGGAGUGGACAAAGAAUGGACAGGAAGGAGGAAGGAAAUGCCAGAGCAAAGAAGGAGCAAGAAUUAUAGUGUUUG